UUAAAGGAAUUGACGGAAGGGCACCACAAGGAGUGGAGCUUGCGGCUUAAUUUGACUCAACACGGGGAAACUUACCCGACCCGGACACCGGAAGGAUUGACGGAUUGAUAGCUCUUUCUCGAUUCGGUGGAUGGUGGUGCAUGGCCGUUCUUAGUUGGUGGAGCGAUUUGUCUGGUUAAUUCCGAUAACGAACGAGACUCUAGCCUGCUAACUAGACCCGCGGACCGAGGUUCCGUGAGAUGGGGGUCUUCUUAGAGGGACAGGCGGCAGCUAGUCGCACGAGAGAGAGCAAUAACAGGUCUGUGAUGCCCUUAGAUGUCCGGGGCCGCACGCGUGCUACAAUGAAGAAAUCAGCGGGUGUGAAUCCUGGUACGAGAGAGGCCGGGUAACCCCUGCGAAAUUUCUUCGUAGCUAGGGACAGGGGUUUGGAACUGUCCCCCUCGAACGAGGAAUUCCUAGUAAGGGCACGUCAUCAGCGUGCGCUGAUUACGUCCCUGCCCUUUGUGCACACCGCCCGUCGCUACCCUCGAUGGAAGGUGGGGUGAGGUCUUCGGACUGACCCGCGGAGAGGCCACCCUCGCGGCGGCCGAUCCUGGGACGGAAAGGUGACCGAACUCCAUCCUUUAGAGAGAGUAAAAGUCGUAACAAGGUAGCC
rnacentral:rRNA from 1 species